GAUCUGCUCAGGAUGAACGCUAGCGACAGGCUUAACACAUGCAAGUCGAGGGGCAGCGGGGGUAGCGAUACCCGCCGGCGACCGGCGCACGGGUGAGUAACGCGUAUGCAACUUGCCUAUCAGAGGGGGAUAACCCGGCGAAAGUCGGACUAAUACCGCAUGAAGCAGGGAUCCCGCAUGGGAAUAUUUGCUAAAGAUUCAUCGCUGAUAGAUAGGCAUGCGUUCCAUUAGG
rnacentral:rRNA from 1 species